UACAGAGGGGGCAAGCGUUGUUCGGAAUUACUGGGCGUAAAGGGCGCGUAGGCGGCCUGCUAAGUCGAACGUGAAAUCCCUGGGCUCAACCCAGGAACUGCGUCCGAUACUGGUUGGCUUGAAUCCGGGAGAGGGAUGUGGAAUUCCAGGUGUAGCGGUGAAAUGCGUAGAUAUCAGGAAGAACACCAAUGGCGAAGGCAGCUCUCUGGGACGGUACUGACGCUGAGACGCGAAAGCGUGGGGAGCGAACAGG
rnacentral:rRNA from 1 species